GGGAAUAGAAUUUUACAAAAUUUAAAGUGUCGGUUCCUAGUAUAGAUAGGGUUGCCUGCCGCCAAAGAGUGCGGCUUGGCUUUUUCCUUUCCGGAUAAGUCUCCUUAUACACCUCUUCUAAUUCUUUGACCAGUUUCUUGAGAGAUUCCUCGAAGAUGAUUCGUCUUCCCUCUUCACGCCUCUUUGGGGGCUUCUCAUUGGGAGAAGACCCACCUCCACCUCUAGUGGAUGAGCUAGAGGCUUCGCCUUUACCUUCUACUCGAAGAGGAAAGCCUGUGCUACUAAGCGGAACAGGGAAGUCGAGCAUUUACAAACCUAUCCCUAUCGUUAGAGCGUCGUUAAAUCCCUCCCCGAGGGGGGCCCUCCAUCGCCUCUCCCCCCUCCCAGCCCUGUAACUUCAACUUAGACUUAGGGCUGGCCUUGCCUCAUUCUUGAAGCUACAU
rnacentral:misc_RNA from 1 species